rnacentral:rRNA from 1 species
GACCAGACUCCUACGGGAGGCAGCAGUGGGGGAUAUUGCACAAUGGGGGGAACCCUGAUGCAGCGACGCCGCGUGGGUGAAGGAGCGUUUCGGCGCGUAAAGCCCUGUCAGCAGGGAAGAAAAUGACGGUACCUGAAGAAGAAGCCCCGGCUAACUACGUGCCAGCAGCCGCGGUAAUACGUAGGGGGCAAGCGUUAUCCGGAUUUACUGGGUGUAAAGGGAGCGUAGACGGUAGAGCAAGUCUGAAGUGAAAGCCCGCGGCUCAACUGCGGGACUGCUUUGGAGACUGUUCAACUGGAGUGCUGGAGAGGUAAGCGGAAUUCCUAGUGUAGCGGUGAAAUGCGUAGAUAUUAGGAGGAACACCAGUGGCGAAGGCGGCUUACUGGACAGUAACUGACGUUGAGGCUCGAAAGCGUGGGGAGCAAACAGGAUUAGAUACCCUCGUA